rnacentral:rRNA from 1 species
AUGGUUUGGUGGAACUGCUACUUCAGGGUGCGUGUUAUGUUUGAUCUUUGGCGACUCCAGCAGGUGACACUAAUGACGGCAGAGGGACAAGGACAGCUCCAUUCGCUGCACAUCGAUGCUUACGCCAGACUGUCUUUUUUUCACGGUAAAAUGGACGCCUUUACAGAGGAGAUAGAGAAGCAUAUGAUUGUCAAGUUUUCUGUUUUGGAGCUACGUCUCGCAACAAACGGACAUGGUUUUGGAGCACUCGUCUUUCAUCUCCUAGGGAUGAAUCGAAUUCGUUGUGCUACGCGGAGGCUCAGGAUCGCCCUAGAGAAAACAAUGGUGAAUGAAGAAUGCCCAUUUGAUUGUCCUUGUGAACCCGAGGGCUGGAGAUCAAACACCAUAUCCUUGACUGCUCUCGAAGAAGUGGAGAUCAAUGGCUUCGGAGGAGAUGAUCAUGAACUUGAUUUCAUGAAGCUGAUAUGUAAAUGUGCGCCAAUCCUCAAACGAAUGAUUGUCAAGCUGUCAGACGAGGCCUCAUCAAGUAACUAUGGAUGCACAAAAUUAUAUAACAUCUUCAAGGCUUGUUCUUCUGUGGAAGUCUAUGUUUAUCUUAGCUCCGGAUUAAUGCUCGGCUGGCAAAAUCGCCUCUCAGGAUAA